UAAGACGAACCGUGCGAACGUUAUUCGGAAUCACUGGGCUUAAAGCGCGUGUAGGCGGAUGGGAACGUCGGCCACUGAAAGCCCCCGGCUCAACCGGGGAAGCGGUGCCGGGACGGCCCGUCUGGAGGGGCGUAGGGGGACCUGGAACUUCCGGUGGAGCGGUGAAAUGCGUUGAGAUCGGAAGGAACGCCCGUGGCGAAAGCGAGGUCCUGGACGUCAUCUGACGCUGAGACGCGAAAGCCAGGGGAGCGAACGGGAUUAGAUACCCCGGUAGUCCUGGCCGUAAACGAUGGGCACUGGGUAGGGGGCUCGCCGAUGGGCUCCCUGCCGCAGGGAAACCGUGAAGUGCCCCGCCUGGGGAGUAUGGUCGCAAGGCUG
rnacentral:rRNA from 1 species